rnacentral:rRNA from 1 species
GACGAACGCUGGCGGCGUGCUUAACACAUGCAAGUCGAACGGAAAGGCCCUGCUUUUGUGGGGUGCUCGAGUGGCGAACGGGUGAGUAACACGUGAGUAACCUGCCCUUGACUUUGGGAUAACUUCAGGAAACUGGGGCUAAUACCGGAUAGGAGAUCCUGCUGCAUGGAGGGGGUUGGAAAGUUUCGGCGGUUGGGGAUGGACUCGCGGCUUAUCAGCUUGUUGGUGGGGUAGUGGCUUACCAAGGCUUUGGCGGGUAGCCGGCCUGAGAGGGUGACCGGCCACAUUGGGACUGCGGUACGGCCCAGACUCCUACGGGAGGCAGCAGUGGGGAAUAUUGCACAAUGGGCGGAAGCCUGAUGCAGCAACGCCGCGUGCGGGAUGACGGCCUGCGGGUUGUAAACCGCUUUCGCCUGUGACGAAGCGUGAGUGACGGUAAUGGGUAAAGAAGCACCGGCUAACUACGUG